rnacentral:rRNA from 1 species
UACGUAGGUGACAAGCGUUGUCCGGAUUUACUGGGCGUAAAGAGCGCGCAGGCGGUCGAUCAAGUCGAGUGUGAAAGCCCCCGGCUUAACCGGGGAGGGUCGUUGGGUACGGCGGAGCUUGAGGGCGGGAGAGGGUGGUGGAAUUCCCGGUGUAGUGGUGGAAAUGCGUAGAGAUCGGGAGGAACACCAGUGGCGAAGGCGACUACCUGGCCUGUUCUUGACGCUGAGGCGCGAAAGCUAGGGGAGCAAACGGGG